CUAUACAUACUUAUUCAAAUCUUACUUUAUCUUCAUUCCACAAAAAACAACCGCCUCCCUCCAGAUCCUCUUCCAGCGUCUUCUUCCAGCCGCCUUCAUCUUCCUCUACCAUUGUCUUCCCCUCCAUCAACGUUCCAGCCACCUCCGGCUAUCUCCCUUCAGCCCACCGAUCUGCUUACAUCUAUCAAGGUUUGUGUUAGUUCCUCCAACAUAUCUGCUUCUUUUCUGUAAAAUGGGUUUUAUUCCUCUAGCCGAUCUAUUGGUUAGAUUAGUGCUUCUAGUCGAUUGUGUUAAUUGUCUUUUCUUUUUCUUUCAAUAGUAUUAAUUAAUUUCUCAAGCUGAUUUGCUUCUUAUGUACUACUAGUUCUAAUGUUAUAGGUGGGCUCCAAACCGGAAAUCUACAUCGUCAUCGGCCUCAUAUCACUGCAGAAGGCCGUAGAUAGUACAUUCGACUCAGAAACGGAGCUCCAAUAUUGGAAUUACAACAACCAACUAGUUCAAUAAUAUUUUGGGUUUUUUUAGGUGCACUAGUACAUGUCAGAUCUAGAGAUCUGACUCUUGGGUGUCAGGAUUGUAAUAACGAAUUAGUUAAAUAUAAUUUUUUUGACUUUUUUAGGUGUAUUAGUACAAAUUCAGAUUCCCUGUUGAAGAAACGAGGCCAAUGUUGUCCACCAAAGGUGGUGAUGUCAUUGGAACUUGAUUGCCUGUAAAUGCUUGUUGCAUUGCUGAAUCAAAACUAAUACUAUUUGUGUGUUUUUGUUUGGUGGCUUUUUGUCUGUCAUUGAUCGGUAUGGCUGUGAGUUGGCCAGUGAUAUAUAGUUACGGUGUAUUAGUUCAUCGACAAACUAGUUCAAUUUCCAUUUUCUUUAGUUUUUUAGGGAGGCUGGAAGUUGGUUAAUUCGAUUAAUAACUAUCGAUUAGCGGUUAGGUAAAAUACUUUGAUGAUUUAAAUUGGUUAACCAAAUUAACCGACCGAGCAGAAACCACUAUUAAUCUCACUGAUCGAUAACCGACCAAUCGGUUAAAUGACCGAUUAUUAACCGACCGACUCUCGUUUAACCAUUGUAACCGGCUCUGGCCGAUUUAACUCUCUUCUCAGAUUGUAACAAGAUUCUAGGCUUUGGUUCUAGAUCCGUCGUCGAUUCAAGCCUUGGAGACCAGAGCUUCUCUUCUGGAGAAAAUCUGGUGCUCUGCAACUCAAUCCUUCGGGACUGGAAGCUUCCCGAGAUGGCGUCGAUGCGGAUUGGUGAGGAGUGAAGGAAGCCUCAAGCCUAUGGUGUUGCAGAUCGAAGAAUCGAGAGAGUGGAGGAGGAGAGGAGUGCUCGCGGCGACGAAGGAAGCCUGUAGUGUUGCGGAUCGAAGAAUCGAGAGAGUGGACGAGGAGAGGAGUGCUCGCGGCGACUCGUCGUCGCCGUGACUACUGGCGAGCUAGUGCUGCUUUAAGUCGUCGUCGGUGGGAGAUCGUGAAAUUGAAUCUCUUGGAUUGAUGGAGUUGUCGAGAUGGAUUGAUGGAGAUAGCUUGGAGUUGACGUAGUUUCAGAUUGAGAGGUAGUGAUGCAGUGGGAGGCUGGGAGGGGAGGGAGCGAUUCUACGAUUGUGGUGAGGAAAGUUUGGUUUCCUCGUUCGGGGCCUUGGUAUUUUUAUUACGAUUAACAUCGGUUAACUCAAGUUAACCGAUGGUUUUAAUUGAUUAAUCGUUUACCCAACUCCAAAAAUUACUCCCAAAGGUUCCCUACCUCGGUUAAACCGACAAUGUAAUCGAGUCGGUUGGUUAAUUAGAUUAACCAAUUAACCGAGACAGAUUGUGAACCCUUACUUUGAGGCAUCACUUUAGCAUGUAGUUCAAGUUAAUUGGACGUACUAGUUCAACCACGCUCCUAGUUCGAUUUCCAUUGGUUAUUUGAGGCCUUGACUUGGC
rnacentral:lncRNA from 1 species